rnacentral:rRNA from 1 species
UACGUAGGGUGCAAGCGUUAAUCGGAAUUACUGGGCGUAAAGCGUGCGCAGGCGGUUUUUGUAAGUCAGAUGUGAAAUCCCCCGGGCUUAACCUGGGAACUGCGUUUUGAAACUACAAGGCUAGAGUGUGGCAGAGGGGGGGUGGAAUUCCACGUGUAGCAGUGAAAUGCGUAGAGAUGUGGAGGAACACCGAUGGCGAAGGCAGCCCCCUGGGUUAACACUGACGCUCAGGCACGAAAGCGUGGGGGAGCAAACAG